GGGCUCCAGCAGUUUCCAGGCUCCCCUCGGCGGGGCUGAAUGAUCAAAACUGGUGGUGAGAAUUUUUCCGGGCCGUUUCUAGGCAGCCCUCCCCCUCCACCAGCUCGGGCCCCCCCUUCCUCCUUCUCCUCCCUUUUCCUCCCCCCUCCUCCAGCGUCUGGGCUGAGUGAUCAAAAUAGAGGAAGAUGGUUGUCGCCGCAAUCCAGGGCUUUGCAAGGCGCGGUUUAAUGGGCCGGCUGUCAGCUUCCUGCUCGCAGGAGGAGGUGACAAGCCGAGCGAGCCGGGAAGGGCCUGGGGCCCGGCGGACUGCACCCAGUGCCCACGCCCCGGCCCCCCACCUCCCCUGGGUGCGCCUCUAGAACGCGCGGUGGAGACGCCAAAACAGACAAGGGCUGCUUUUUCUUUUUUCUUUCUUUUUUUUUUUUUCCUUUUCCUUCCUUUUAAAACAAAGCAGCGAUUCAUUCCCUCUCCCCCAGGAGCGCAGUCGGGUGGGAUGGGCAGGCGAGAAGGCCGUUUUCCUUGUCCCGGCCUGCGGGUCCCUCCCUGAAAAGCAGUGUCAGAUGGUUACUGAUUAAUAUUUUGGAGAGGCCGCGGCGGCGGGCAGCGGGUGAGUCUAAUCUCCUAAAGGGGGUUCCUAUAGAAACGCGCGCGGGCCAGGGCGCGCCCCCUUCUUGGCCCCGGCCGGGGCUGCGGUGCUUCUGCAACGCGAGCCCCUCCCCGAAGCCCCUCUUGGCGUGGGCGGUCCCCUCCCCCUUCCCCCCCAAAAAAAAUCAGAGCAGAAAAAAGGAUUAGAUCGGCUGAGCGCAAGCUGAAUCCCUCUCGAUUCUGACAUUUCAGCCUAUUAGCAUUUCUCCACGGGGCCUUCUGAAACCUAUUAAAGUGUAAUAUUAAAAACCUCUUGGCUGGGGGCCUCUCUCGCCUUCCAUCCGCCGCGCCCCCUCCAGGGAGGGCGAGACCGGGGGAAAAAAAAAAUCUGUUGAGCUCAGAGGAAGCAGCAGCCAAGCCCAAAAGUGCUUGGCUGGCCACGGCGGCCAGAGGGGGAGGGGAGCCCCAAUCCCCCAGACUUUGUACUUUAUUUUGCGCUUUCAGCAAAAUCCUUUCUGGGUUGAGUAGCCGGGAGCUGCCAGCGGCAAACCUAUCUGGCUAGAGGCGCAGGGAAUGCGGACCCUGCCGGAGGGACAGUCCUAGGGGCCCCGCACCCUCUCCGCAGCCCCGGCAGGCACCCGAGUCCAGCUAGGCAUUACGUACCCUCGAAAGGAAGCUUGAAGGGGCAGAAAUCCUGCUGAUCCUGCCUCGGAGAGCAACCGUGGUGAUAGGAUUUUAAUUAAAACAAGAGAAGCCCGCUCUUUCGCCCCGCGCUGCGGACUCAGCGUUUUCGCAUUGAUCCUAUUUUUUUUUAAUCCAUUUUUAAGGCAACUUUUCUGGAGGGGGGGGAAAUGAGCUAGUUAGCGCCCAUUCGUUCUAUUUUCUUUUCUCCACUUUUAGAAAAAAGGGGGAAGGGUUCGAGAGCGAACUGGGGGUGUCUAAUUUAAUUCCAGGAUAAAUUUGAGGAAAAAAGUUCGGCCUCAGGAGGGCAGUUUCAAGUUGCCCUUCUUGGAUCCUCCUGCGCUGGUUUCUAGGCUGCCCUCUUUUGGAAGCUGGAGCUCCGCGGGGGAGGAGGGAGGAGUGAAGAGAGAAAGGAACGAAAAUAGCCGGAGCCAAGGGGAACAAGCUGCGGUGUCCGCGCUUGGAGCUGGGCGCGCGGGUCUCAGUGGCAACCGGGGCGGCGGGAGAUGCCCGGUGCAGCCCCAGGACGGCCAGAAGCAAAGACCGAAAGGAGAGGGGGGUUAGAGAAAGGAGGUAUUGUGUCUGUGUGCCUUAGGGGAGGGGGGCGACUGCAGAAAUAAAAUAAAUGCAGUUGAGCUGCGCGGGACUGCUGGAAGCCAGAGCAAGGGAAGGGGCCGUGUGUGGGGGCGCCCAGCGCCCUUGAGUCUUAUCCUGAGGCCUUUGUGGGUUCCCAGUAAGCCCUCCCACGCCCGAGUCCCCAGCGCUUCCCCCGCCCCCAUCGCCCUCCAAUAUUAGGAGUGCAGGCCCUGAUUCCCCCACCCUCUUAGCCCGCCCGGGAUCUGGAAUGGUUUUAUUUUAAUAUAGCUCAAGAAAAAAAUACGUAUCUUGCGAGAGUUGGGGUGGGGAAUAAUACAAAAGACUUGCGGGGUGGAAAAAAACAAAGGCCUAUUUUUAUAAAUGUUUAAUGUUUUCACCCCUGGAUGCUCCAAGACGCCGUAAUUGUGACGGCGGGGUAUGUGUGCCAUAAAUCAUUUAGUUGCUAAUAAAAAUUCUGCCUGUUUGCCCUGGAUUUGCCAAUGGCGUUUGC
rnacentral:lncRNA from 1 species